GUGCAAAGGCAGCUUUAUAGAGAUGCUCAGCAAGACUUGCUCACCCCAUUUACACAUAUGCAUUACUUUUCUCUCUAAAUGCUCAAUAUACAAGAAUGACUAUUCAAAUGCAUAUUUGCUAACUAAAAGGAGUAAAAUUGUUGAAACUAUGCAAAGCAAUAAAAAUAAUGAAACUGUUCCAGAGGCUACCAUUAACUUUCAAUACAACCAUUCAUAAAUAAGCCAACAACAACACUAUCCUUAAUAACACAAGUAUCAAACGAAAUAAAGAGAAGCCAAAUCCACAAUGUGAAACGUGUUCACCUAAAUAAUGAAACUACAUGUGAUAUCCUCAACCAAAUGGCUGCUUUAGAAGGCAAAAGUUUCAGCCACCAGCAUACACUCAAUUGGCUUAUUAAUGAUUGGGGCAUUUAACCUAAGCAGCAACCAUAUCAUUCCGAAAACACAACAAAAUCGCGCACUAAAAGCCACUUUCAUCAACUAUGAAAAAGAAAUCAACAGGAGGCACAUUCAGAUAUCUACAAUCAAUGAUAUUUCAAUUCAAUAGAAAUAACAAAUUAAAACUUCAUUCAUUCAAGCAAGCAGAGUACACAGACAAAAUGCAUUCAAAAUCUAACGAA
rnacentral:misc_RNA from 1 species